UGGGGAAUUUUGGACAAUGGACGAAAGUCUGAUCCAGCGACGCCGCGUGGAGGAUGAAGGUUUUCGGAUUGUAAACUCCUUUUACAGGGGACGAACACCCGCAAGGGUUUGACAGUACUCUGUGAAUAAGCCACGGCUAACUACGUGCCAGCAGCCGCGGUAAUACGUAGGUGGCGAGCGUUACUCGGAAUUACUAGGCGUAAAGCGUGUGUAGGCGGGAGCUUAAGUCUGCUGUUAAAUCUCAUAGCUCAACUAUGAAAUGCCGGCAGAUACUGGGCUUCUUGAAUUCGGUAGAGGAAACUGGAAUUCCAGGUGUAGCGGUGAAAUGCGUAGAUAUGCGGAGGAACACCGAUGGCGAAGGCAAUCCCCUGGACCUGUACUGACGCUCAUGCACGAAAGCGUGGGGAGCAAACAGG
rnacentral:rRNA from 1 species